rnacentral:rRNA from 1 species
UACGAAGGGGGCUAGCGUUGUUCGGAAUUACUGGGCGUAAAGCGCACGUAGGCGGGCGAUUAAGUCAGGGGUGAAAUCCCGGAGCUCAACUCCGGAACUGCCUUUGAUACUGGUCGUCUAGAGAUCGGAAGAGGUGAGUGGAAUUCCCAGUGUAGAGGUGAAAUUCGUAGAUAUUGGGAAGAACACCGGUGGCGAAAGCGACUUUCUGGUCCUUAACUGACGCUGAGGCGCGAAAGCAUGGGGAGCGAACGGG